AUAAUUUUGAGGACUCAUUGUUGAUCUUCGAGUCAUUUACAAUCUUCUUCAAUAUAUAGAAAAACAAAAAAAGCACAAUAAAUCUGAUCUCCAAUAGAUAUUAACUAUUGGCUAAUCAAAAGACAAGAGGGAAUAAACUACGCCAUUGCGCUCAUGUUAACCAAUGAUAGAAACGAAGCAAUAGAGAAUUGUUAUAACUGUAUUUUAUACGGUACAAGUAAAAAAUAAAAGUAGAAAUUAAAAUAUAA